CUUGGACACGUCUGCUACCUCGCCUUCCGCCACUCGUUCUGUCGGCAGUUUGUUUUAAAUCUCGACGCUAACAUUGAUGUCAGUGCUCCACAGCUCUGAUGUGAAAGCUGUGCUUCUUGAACGUGUUCCAUCUCAAUUUGCACAAUGCCUGGGAGGCUCUGGAGAAGAAUCGUGUUUGAAAUGGAAGAAAGGAAACGGUGCACCUGUUGCACUAGAAUGAUUCUGCUAGCGGGGAGGCGGGGAAAAGAGGAACCACGGCAGGCAGGUGGUCAAAGACUAAACUCAGAUUGCAAAGUUUGCCAAAAUAAGCAUUCUUUUAACGUUACCCCACGGGAUGCAGAUGUUUAGAACAGCGUGCUCAGGCAGGAUGUCUCAGGGGCUGAGCAAAUGGCACUUUCGAAUGCUGGCGCAACAGCCACAGCGGCCCAUGAAGAUUGCGGGACGGACAGCCGUGGGAAUAUCUCAGUGAUGUUUCUACAUAAUGCGCCGCCGUAAAUGGAUCAUGCCACGCAGCGACUUUUUACUGAGCCUGGCCUCCUCCGCACCUGCGUCCACAGAAUUCUGGAUAGAAUAAAAGGCAAUGGCUGCUUGAAGUUUGAGACCCAUACUCAUCACCACAUGUUGAAUAUCUUCUCCGGUGAUUCUCUGCCAGGCCUGAACUUCAGUCAUCUUCAGCUCUUGCUUGUUUUGGAAAAGUUUGUUCUCAAUUAUAAAAAAACGCAUGUUUAAUCAGAUUCCAUUUUCAUAGCAGGUGAAUGACUUGGCGAGUCAAGAAUUUUCCAGUUUUUGACUUUGAGAAACUCCUUUGAUGCUUUAGCAACAUGUUUGGGAUCAUUGUCUUGCUGUAGGUGGAAGCACUGCCCAAUGAUUUUGUCAGCAUUCAUAUCAUCAAUGAAGACAAGUGAGCCAGCACCUGUGGCAGCCAUGCAGGCCCAAACCAUAACAUCCCCCCCACGAUG